rnacentral:rRNA from 1 species
CCUACGGGUGGCAGCAGUGGGGAAUAUUGGACAAUGGGGGGAACCCUGAUCCAGCCAUGCCGCGUGUGUGAAGAAGGCCCUCGGGUUGUAAAGCACUUUCAGUGAGGAAGAACGCCUGGUGGUUAAUACCCAUCAGGAAAGACAUCACUCACAGAAGAAGCACCGGCUAACUCCGUGCCAGCAGCCGCGGUAAUACGGAGGGUGCGAGCGUUAAUCGGAAUUACUGGGCGUAAAGCGCGCGUAGGUGGCUUGAUAAGCCGGUUGUGAAAGCCCCGGGCUCAACCUGGGAACGGCAUCCGGAACUGUCAAGCUAGAGUGCAGGAGAGGAAGGUAGAAUUCCCGGUGUAGCGGUGAAAUGCGUAGAGAUCGGGAGGAAUACCAGUGACGAAGGCGGCCUUCUGGACUGACACUGACACUGAGGUGCGAAAGCGUGGGUAGCAAACAGGAUUAGAUACCCUAGUAGUC